AUAGAAUGGCGGUAGUGUAGGGACAAAUUGAGCUUCUCAGAUCUGACUUGACUAACUCACAUGCACAGUGUCACCAGCAGCUGUGGGCCAUCUUCUCACUCCUCCAAACUACCGGGAUGUCCCACCCUCAGUCAGGAACUUGGGACCAAGGAAUGCCAUCUAGCAAUGACAUAGGCCCCUGCUUUGUACACUGCAUGUCACAGAACAUUUUGCCACCCUUUUCUAAUGAAAUUGAAGUGGAAUCUAUAGUGUGUAUGUUUUUUCUUGCCAACUCUUAGCUCACUAGAUAUGCUGCAAAUAUCUAAUAUUGUGUGGUUGUCAGCCUCUAAGAUGGCCCAAAUGAUAGCUGCCUCCUCGUAUUCACACUUUUGUGUAAUCCUCUUCCUUUGAGUGUGGGCUGGACCUUGUGACUCACUCCAUAUGGAUAGAGAACCGCAGAAGUGAUGGGCUGUCACUUCUGAGAUUAGGUGAUAAAAAGACUGUCUUCUGUCUUAGGUGCUCUCUCUCUCAUUCUCUCUUGAUUUUGUUGCUCCAAGGAAAGCCAGCUGCCAUCCCACAAGGCAGCACUGAGAAGAAUGUUGCCAACAGCCAUGUGAGUGAGCGGGAAGCAGCUCCUCCCAGCUGAGACUUGAGAUGACAGCAACCCUGGCUGACACCUUGACUGAAGCCUUUUGAAAGACCCUGAACAAGAACCACCUGGCUAAGCUGCUUCUGAAAUCCUGAGCCACAGAAACUGUACAAUAGUAGAUGUUGUUUUCAGCUUUUAGGUUUUGGAAUAACUUUGGUACACAGCAAUAGAUAACUAAAACAUAUCAUAACAUGUUAUGCAUCAGAGACGGGGAUAAGCCCUUUACAUCUCAUUUGCUUUUCACAACCCCAUACAGGCAUACUGCUGUUACCGUGUGGGCUGAGUCAUUAAUGCAGAAUCAAAGCUGUAGAAUGUCCAUUUGUUGCUGAAAGAGCUGUCAGCGAGUCCACAGGGAAGCUCAGUGGCCACCAUUACCUGAACAUCUUCCCAAUGUACCCAAAUUCAGGGUUAAUAGUUUUAAGCCCUAAAAACAUGAAGAGGCUUUUGUUUUUGUUUCUACUAAUUCUGCAGUUCUCCAUGUGGUCAUCCAAGGUUCUGAAAUACACAGAAAUGUGUACAGACUAAGGCAAGGUGCCCCUCUCUCCUCAGUGACAGCAAGUCUUGGGAGAAAGGUGUUUACCACGUCUAUGGAGGCACACUGGGCCCGCUGGACCAGGCGCAGGACAGCUAUGAAAUGAACUGCUCCCUCCAGGGAGUGAGAAGAUGCAUCUCCUGUCCAAGGUACCCUCCAAACUGCAGGAGAGAAAUGCUGGCACCCACAGAGGGACGGGUGUGCUGCGAGCUCUUGGCUGGAAAGAAAAGAGAAGAAAGUUACAGAGGAAUCAUGUAAACAGCAGAAUACAGAUUCUCAUUCAAAGGUUAUUUAUGACGCUGAGGUGGAUCAAAUGAAAAAUACAUGGCUAAAAUGAAAUAAGUAAAGUACUAAAAUUCUUAUGUUUUUUGAUUACAAUAAACAGUGCUUCACUGCUUAA